rnacentral:rRNA from 1 species
GACGAACGCUGGCGGCGUGCUCAACACAUGCAAGUCGAACGAAGAGCGAUGGAAGCUUGCCUCUAUCACUCUUAGUGGCGAACGGGUGAGUAACGCGUAAUCAACCUGCCCUUCAGAGGGGGACAACAGUUGGAAACGACUGCUAAUACCGCAUACGAUCUAAUCUCGGCAUCGAGGAAAGAUGAAAGGUGGCCUCUAUUUAUAAGCUAUCACUGAAGGAGGGGAUUGCGUCUGAUUAGCUAGUUGGAGGGGUAACGGCCCACCAAGGCGAUGAUCAGUAGCCGGUCUGAGAGGAUGAACGGCCACAUUGGGACUGAGACACGGCCCAGACUCCUACGGGAGGCAGCAGUGGGGAAUCUUCCGCAAUGGACGAAAGUCUGACGGAGCAACGCCGCGUGAGUGAUGACGGCCUUCGGGUUGUAAAGCUCUGUUAAUCGGGACGAAAGGCCUUCUUGCGAACAGUUAGAAGGAUUGACGGUACCGGAAUAGAAAGCCACGGCUAACUACGUG